UGCAGUUCACUGAUGGGACGCACUGGUGGAGGGAUGGGAAAUUCCAUUACUGGAGGUUUGAGCUUGGGUCCUGAUGGAGAAUGGACACUCAGGGAUAAUCUUUGCCACUGAGGCAGGCAUCACCCCUGGGAACA